ACCAAAUACAUAUGCUGUUUCCUUCCCUCUAAUUUGAGACAGUGGUUUUGUAUCCUACCAAAAUAAAUAUGGAGUAGUUUUGAACCUCCUUUGUAAAAGCAUAUUUGUUUAUCUUUUUAUUCUUACAGACUUGCAAAAGUUCUUAUCUAAAUUAUGACUUAUAAGUGCUUUAGUUUUAUUCUCAAAAGCAAGCUGAAUUACCUCAUUUUGAUUUGUUGCAAAUAGUGAUAAGCCAUUAUGUAUAAUAUAUAUACAAAUUAAAACUUUUUCAAGUGAAUUUCACACUAGAUAUUAAUACUACUUAAGUCCCACCACUCAUAAAGAUACUUGCAUAUUUGUAACCUAAGUACUUUAAAUUUGCAUUUUUUAAAACUUUGAUUCUUGUUCUUUUGACAGUGACUGUAUUUUUAAAUUCAUUGACACCCAAAUUCUAUGUGGCACUUACAGGGACCUCUUCAUUGAUAUCAGGACUAAUAUUUAUAUUUGAAUGGUGGUACUUCCAUAAGCAUGGCACAUCUUUUAUUGAGCAAGUAUCUGUAAGCCAUUUGCAACCACUGAUGGGAGGAACAGAGAGCAGCAUUUCAGAACCAGGUUCUCCUUCGAGGAACAGAGAAAAUGAAACCAGCAGACAGAAUUUGUCAGGUGACUACUUUUCUAAUGUGUUUUCAGAGCUGUGUAUUUAAGAUUGAGUUUGGCUCUGGGAGAUAGAAAACUCAAAACAGCAGAGUGCUGUGGUGUGCAUGUUUGUGUUUCCCCCAAAAUUCUAAUCACCAAUGUGAUGUUACGAGGUAGGGUCUUUGGGAGGUGAUCAGGUCAUGAGGGCAGUGCCCUCAGGGAUGUGAUGAAUGCCCUUAUGAGAGACCCCAGAGAGCUGCUUGCCACUUCUACCGUGGCAGGACACCACGAGAAGGCGCCGUCUGUGAACCAGAAAGCAGACCCUCACCAGACACCAAAUCUGUUGGUACCUUGGUCAUAGACUUCCCAGCCUCCAGAACUGUUAAAAAUAAAUUUAUACUGUUUAUAAUCUA
rnacentral:sRNA from 1 species